UGGCGGCUGUAGCGCGGUGGUCCCACCUGACCCCAUGCCGAACUCAGAAGUGAAACGCCGUAGCGCCGAUGGUAGUGUGGGGUCUCCCCAUGUGAGAGUAGGGAACUGCCAGGCA
rnacentral:rRNA from 37 species